AUGAAGAACGCAGCGAAAUGCGAUAAGUAAUGUGAAUUGCAGAAUUCAGUGAAUCAUCGAAUCUUUGAACGCACAUUGCGCCCCCUGGAAUUCCGGGGGGCAUGCCUGUUCGAGCGUCUCAGGGACGAACCCUCGCGCGGGUGUACGCGCGGUCGUGGCUGCGGUGGCGUGCCCGAGGCGGCGGCCACCGCGCUGGAAUCCAUGGGCGGACGCCUGCCGCGUGGCCGAGCGUGAUAUGACGCAUUGGCGCUCGCACGCGGAGAGGCUGCCAGCCCUGGCCCGUCUGUCGGGCGGGGGAGAGCAAGACACGUGAACUCCUCGAAUCAGGUAGGGAUACCCGCUGAACUUAAGCAUAUCAAUAAGCGGAGGA
rnacentral:misc_RNA from 1 species